UUGAUUCUUGGUGACAAAUAUGUAAAAGAUGUAAGAAUUCAAUACCUUGAAGGAGAGCUUUGGGUUUGAACUAGAUCUUGAUUCUUCAGAUUAAACGGCUGUUUCUCCGGUGUCUGAUUGAAAACACGAGUUGAUUCAGUAGUCGUUGGCGGUUUCAAAGGUGAAGAAGAUGCAACGUUGAUGGACGUCGAGGUUUCGUUGCCGCAAGCUUCCAUGGCGGACGGUUUCAAAGGUGAAGAUGCGACGACGUCGAUAGACGGCAAAGUUUCGUUGCGGCAAGCUUCCAUGGCGGACGGUUUCAAAGGUGAAGAUGCGACGUUAACGGACGACAAGGUUUUGGAAGCUUGAUCAUGAGCCAUCGUCAGUCAGCGAAGAGUAUGGUCUCUCUUUUGGCGCGGGACUUUCUUCAAGAAUAUUUCCAAAGAGGCACGGAGUAACCGUUUUAACUUAUAUAAAGAGUCAAAACCGACUAAACGGAUCUUUGAGCAAUAACAAAA